AGUAAAUGUAGUUAAUCCAAUUAACAUUUUUGUUAGCAGUUAUCAUUGGAAUUAGGGACUCAAAUCCUGCAGCCACUUCAUCUCUUGCUUUGAAUUCGUUAGGCACCCCCCUUGGCACACCUAUGGCAUCAAUAUACACAUGGGGGUCGAAACUCCCUCGAAUAGGAGUCUCUCGUUUGGUUCUAGAGUGUACAUGUGUGAGGUUUAACGCGUUAUGGUCACC